GACUCCAUGGCGCAAUGGUAGCGCGUUCGACUCCAGUUGUCCAUGGGACCUCAUGUGUCAUCGAAAGGUUGCGUGUUCAAGUCACGUUGGGGUCA
rfam:Puccinia graminis f. sp. tritici CRL 75-36-700-3 supercont2.28 genomic scaffold, whole genome shotgun sequence.